rnacentral:rRNA from 1 species
AGAACGAACGCUGGCGGCAUGCCUAACACAUGCAAGUCGAACGAGACCUUCGGGUCUAGUGGCGCACGGGUGCGUAACGCGUGGGAAUCUGCCCUUAGGUACGGAAUAACAGUGAGAAAUUACUGCUAAUACCGUAUGAUGUCUUCGGACCAAAGAUUUAUCGCCUAGGGAUGAGCCCGCGUUGGAUUAGCUAGUUGGUGGGGUAAAGGCCUACCAAGGCGACGAUCCAUAGCUGGUCUGAGAGGAUGAUCAGCCACACUGGGACUGAGACACGGCCCAGACUCCUACGGGAGGCAGCAGUGGGGAAUAUUGGACAAUGGGCGAAAGCCUGAUCCAGCAAUGCCGCGUGAGUGAAGAAGGCCUUAGGGUUGUAAAGCUCUUUACCGGGAAGAUAAUGACUGUACCGGGAGAAUAAGCCCGGCUAACUCCGCGCCAGCAGCCGC